GUCUAUGUAGUUUAUUCCAAAUCGCUGAAUUGUGGUUUCAGAGAAAUAUUUAAUAUCUUAGACC
rnacentral:tRNA from 1 species